rnacentral:rRNA from 1 species
ACGAACGCUGGCGGCGUGCUUAACACAUGCAAGUCGAACGGGAUUUAGUAAACAGAAGCCUCGGUGGAAGAUUACUAAUGAGAGUGGCGAACGGGUGAGUAACGCGUGAGCAACCUGCCUAUGACAGUGGGAUAGCCUCGGGAAACCGGGAUUAAUACCGCAUAAAAUCGUAGAAACACAUGUUUCAACGGUCAAAGAUUUAUCGGUCAUAGAUGGGCUCGCGUCUGAUUAGCUAGUUGGUGAGAUAACAGCCCACCAAGGCGACGAUCAG